rnacentral:rRNA from 1 species
AUUGAACGCUGGCGGCAUGCUUUACACAUGCAAGUCGGACGGCAGCGGGGUAGUGCUUGCACUACUGCCGGCGAGUGGCGAACGGGUGAGUAAUAUAUUGGAACGUACCGAGUAAUGGGGGAUAACCAAUCGAAAGAUUGGCUAAUACCGCAUACGCUCUGAGGAGGAAAGCAGGGGACCUUCGGGCCUUGCGUUAUUCGAGCGGCCAAUAUCUGAUUAGCUAGUUGGUGGGGUAAGGGCCUACCAAGGCGACGAUCAGUAGCGGGUCUGAGAGGAUGAUCGGCCACACUGGGACUGAGACACGGCCAAGACUCCUACGGGAGGCAGCAGUGGGGAAUUUUGGACAAAGGGGGCAAGCCUGAUCCAGCAAUGCCGCGUGUCUGAAGAAGGCCUUCGGGUUGUAAAGGAAUUUUGUUAGGGAAGAAAAAGGAGCGGUUAAUACCCGAUUCUGCUGACGGUACCUAAAGAAUAAGCACCGGCUAACUACGUG